UGGAUUGACGACUGGAAGUGCGGCAGCAGCUGGGGCAGCGGCAGCCGGAGUGGCAACAGCCGCGGUGGCAUCAGCGGCGGCUCCAGUUCCGCCCGUUGAGGAUGUUCCAGAGGACGCUGCAGCCGUGACGGCCUGACGCUUCUUUCUUGCGGCUCCAGCUUCAGCUUCAGCUUCAACAGGCUCAGCUUCAGCGGGUUCGGCUUCAGCGCGUUCGGCUUCAGCGGCCUCUGCUUCAACAGGCUCAGCUUCAACAGGCUCAGUUUCAACAGGCUCAGCUUCAACAGGCUCAGCUUCAACAGGCUCAGCUUCAACAGGCUCAGCUUCAACAGGCUCAGCUUCAACAGGCUCAGCUUCAACAGGCUCAGCUUCGACUGGUUCGGCGUCAACGGGUUCAGUCUCAACCGGUUUGGCAACCACGGCCGCUUUUGCAGGGGCAGGGACUACCGCUGGAACAG